UACGUAGGUGACAAGCGUUGUCCCGGAUUUACUGGGCGUAAAGAGCGCGCAGGCGGUCGAUCAAGUCGAGUGUGAAAGCCCCCGGCUCAACUGGGGAGGGUCAUUCGAUACUGAUCGACUCGAAGGCAGGAGAGGGUAGUGGAAUUCCCGGUGUAGUGGUGAAAUGCGUAGAUAUCGGGAGGAACACCAGUGGCGAAGGCGACUACCUGGCCUGUUCUGACGCUGAGGCGCGAAAGCUAGGGGAGCAAACGGGG
rnacentral:rRNA from 1 species